AUUGGAUGCAAAGGCUCCAAGAGUUAACGCCUAAUAGGAUUCCUAAUGUAAAUUAAAUAACUUAAAUUAUUAAGAAACCUAAUAUAAGUAGGACUUGUAUUAUGAGAUUGAAUAGGAUUCAAUCCUCAUGCUUAUUUAAAGGGACCUCCUCUAAGGUCCCUAGGGCAUCUAACCAGUAGCCCUCCAUGCCUCAUAGAUCCCCCC
rnacentral:lncRNA from 1 species